AGGCGCGUAGCUCAGUUGGUUAGAGCGCUACCUUGACAUGGUAGAGGUCGCUGAUUCAAGUUCAGUCGCGCCUA
rnacentral:tRNA from 1 species